rnacentral:rRNA from 1 species
AUUGAACGCUGGCGGCAGGCCUAACACAUGCAAGUCGAGCGGAUGAAGGGAGCUUGCUCCUGGAUUCAGCGGCGGACGGGUGAGUAAUGCCUAGGAAUCUGCCUGGUAGUGGGGGAUAACGUCCGGAAACUGGCGCUAAUACCGCAUACGUCCUGAGGGAGAAAGUGGGGGAUCUUCGGACCUCACGCUAUCAUAUGAGCCUAGGUCGGAUUAGCUAGUUGGUGGGGUAAAGGCCUACCAAGGCGACGAUCCGUAACUGGUAUGAGAGGAUGAUCAGGCACACUGGAACUGAGACACGGUCCAGACUCCUACGGGAGGAAGCAGUGGGGAAUAUUAGGCGAGGGGGGAGAGCCUGAUACAGCCAUGCCGCGUGUGUGAAGAAGGUCUUCGGAUUGUAAAGCACUUUCAGUUGGGAGGAAGGGAAGUAAGUUAAUACCUUGCUGUUUUGACGUUACCAAAAGAAUAAGCACCGGCUAACUUCGUG